rnacentral:sRNA from 1 species
CUGCACUCGAGCUGGGGAAGGUGAGAACCUUCGCGACCAAGGUUCGCGUCGAGCAACGCGAGACAAACGUUGCCGCAGGCAAUGGCCCACAGGGCGAGGCGAGACGCAGCGCGCCGAGUCAUCCUUCCCCCACAACCA